rnacentral:rRNA from 1 species
GACGAACGCUGGCGGCGUGCCUAAUACAUGCAAGUAGAACGCUGCAGGAGGAUCUUGCUUCUCUGGGUGGGUUGCGGACGGGUGAGUAACGCGUAGGUAAGCUGUCUGGUAGCGGGGGGGAACUAUUGGAAGCGAUAGCUCAUCCCGCAUAAUAGUAGAUGUCGCAUGACAUUUGCUUAAAAGGUGCAAUUGCAUCACUACCAGAUGGACCUGCGUUGUAUUAGCUAGAUGGGGUGGUAACGGCUCACCAAGGCAACGAUGCAUAGCCGACCUGAGAGGGUGAUCGGCCACACUGGGACUGAGACACGGCCCAGCAUACUGCGGGAGGCAGCAGUAGGGAAUCUUCGGCAAUGGACGGAAGUCUGAACGAGCAACGACGCGCGAGUGAAGGAGGUUUUAGGAUCGUAAAGCUCUGUUGUACGAGAAGAACGAGUGGGAGAGUGGAAAGUUCACACUGUGACGGUAUCUUACCAGAAAGGGACGGCUAACUCCGUG